GAAUUCAGCGCUCUGCAAUCAUGUGAGGCCAGCAUCUUUUACCGUCUCUGCCCAGAGAUGCAAGAGUCGCGUUUCCCUUGAAGGGCAUCCUGGCUGCCUGGGAGUCGCCUUCCUUGGAACUGAGCUAACUCCGUUAUUCUGAUUCACAUGGACUCAUUCCUUACGAUUUCUUCUUGCUGUUCUUUGAACUACUGUCAAGCACUGUGUUACUUCACCCCUGCUUUUCGAGCUGUAUAUCUUCCUGCGACCUGUCUAUGGAUGCUCUGGGGUGAGAAGCAGCUCUUGCAUGACCGGUGGCUAUCUCCAUACGUCCGCUACCAUGCAGGUGAAGCUUUCAGUUUCAAAAUGAUGACUGAUCAUGGGAUUAAUAAGAUGCAUUGUCCCCAGGAAAAUGUGUGCACUCAUGGAGAACCUCACUGACAUAGCUGCAGAGAGCUAAGCCUAGCCCACAAGAAUUCCUGGCGUGGACUCCAUCAGGACCUAGGAAGGGUCACAGAGUGCUCUGAUGUAUGCUGCCUGCAGUAUGAGCCGAGGAGCUUUUUGAAAGUCUGGGAGAAUUUGACCAGAGACACCUUUAACAGUACCAUCUCCAAAACCUCUCAUGCACAAGUGCAGCGAGACUUCCAGCAAAUCAGCUGAGGAUUUACAAGGAGAAUUAGGCUAACAGAAAAAGAAGAAACAUCUCAUAUUGGA